rnacentral:lncRNA from 1 species
GCGCCGGAAAGUAAACAUCUGUAGUCUGUACGUUGAUGGUUUUCUGUAACAAAAGAAGAGAAGAAGAAAUCCAACCCCCAUAAUAGAUCAUGAAUUUAUACAUUUUUAGAAUUAUUUAUAUUUAUUUUAUCAAAUAUUAUAGGAUGCCGAAUUGACUUUAAAUAGGUGCUGAUUUGACUAGUUCCGAUUUAACAAGGUGCCGAUUUGAACAGGUGCCGAUUUGACUUGAAGUUGUACCCAUUAUAAAUUGCCUUCCGACAGAAUUUCGGCUGUAAAAUCUCGUCUCUGUCCACAUUUCAGUCCUAACCUUUUGAAAUGUGAUGUAACAUCCCCCUGGCAAUCAAACAACUCUACUAAAUGUGUGCCAUGAAGAUGUAAACAUAAAACAUAAAUUGAUAAUGUUACAGACAGCAUCCAUGUUGUAUACAGCGCCAUCUAUAAAUAGUUCUAAAGGGAGAUAAGGUAAACUUCUUCUUCUUCUUCCAAAUUUUCACAUCCUUUGUAGGACAACCACACCGUUACGGCGUGUAGAACAAAACCCACCACCAUGAAUGUAGGAAUAUAAUAUGUACACUAUAUAUUGAAUAAUG